rnacentral:rRNA from 1 species
AUUGAACGCUGGCGGCGUGCUUAACACAUGCAAGUCGAUCGGUAACAGGUGUAGCAAUACAUGCUGACGAGAGGCGGACGGGUGAGUAAUGCUUGGGAAUCUGCCUAUUAGUGGGGGACAACCCGGGGAAACUCGGGCUAAUACCGCAUACGCUCUACGGAGGAAAGCCGGGGACCGCAAGGCCUGGCGCUAAUAGAUGAGCCCAAGUCGGAUUAGCUAGUUGGUAGGGAACGGCCUACUAAGGCGACAAUCCGUAGCUGGUCUGAGAGGACGACCAGCCACACCGGAACUGAGACACGGUCCGGACUCCUACGGGAGGCAGCAGUGGGGAAUAUUGGACAAUGGGGGCAACCCUGAUCCAGCGACGCCGCGUGGGUGAAGAAGGCCUGCGGGUUGUAAAGCCCUUUGGUGGGGAAGAAAAGUCUCGACCUAAUACGUCGGGACCUUGACGUAACCACUAAAGAAGCACCGGCUAACUCUGUGCCAGCCGCCGCCGUAA